rnacentral:rRNA from 1 species
UUGGAGGGCAAGUCUGGUGCCAGCAGCCGCGGUAAUUCCAGCUCCAAUAGCGUAUAUUAAAGUUGUUGCAGUUAAAAAGCUCGUAGUUGAAUUUCGGGGUUAGUAGGUCGGUCAUGCCUCAGGUAUGCACUGGUCUCACUGAUUCCUCCUUCCUGAUGAGCCGUAAUGCCAUUAAUUUGGUGUUGCGGGGAAUCUGGACUGUUACUUUGAAAAAAUUAGAGUGUUUAAAGCAGGCUAACGCUUGAAUACAUUAGCAUGGAAUAAUGGAAUAGGACGUUCGAUCCUAUUUUGUUGGUUUCUAGGAUUGACGUAAUGAUUAAUAGGGAUAGUUGGGGGCAUUAGUAUUCAAUUGUCAGAGGUGAAAUUCUUGGAUUUAUUGAAGACUAACUACUGCGAAAGCAUUUGCCAAGGAUGUUUUCAUUAAUCAAGAACGAAAGUUAGGGGAUCGAAGACGAUCAGAUACCGUCGUAGUCUUAACCAUAAACUAUGCCGACUAGGGAUCGGAUGAUGUUAAUUUUUUAAUGACUCAUUCGGCGCCUUACGGGAAAC